rnacentral:piRNA from 2 species
UGUGACGUUUCUGAGUGUAGUGUGGUA